UGCUGUGGACGUUUGGGGCUGCGGUUGGGGGGGGGGCUGCCUCUUCGCCCGCUCUUGGCGGAGCGCUGGCCUGAGGGCUGUCGCACGGGGCUGCGGAGAAGGGAAUUGCCCUGCGCGACCUUUCGCCGCGAGAGGUAAACGCCUGCAUCCUUCUUCUCCGUGCUGGAAGAAUCAACCCUCGUCGUUUGGAGGCUUACCAGAGGUCGCUCCUGGCUGCGCCUAACUUCCGACAACCCGUCUAGGCGCUCCCGGGGGAUCGGCUGGGUGAGGAAGUGCUGCUGGUUUGUAGUAGUUAGCGGUUUUGCCAUCCACCAUGCUACUUGCCAGCCACGAGUAACUGCUGCGCUGUAACAGUUGGACUUUGCUGUACAGUGACAGCAGUACAGACUUUAGGUACGUACCGCACCGCUAGAACAGUUACACCAAGUUAAACACGUGAGCGUGCUCUUUUUUUCUCCACCUCGACAAAACCGCUUUUCUGACUGUGCACUGCCACGUAUUACUUCCAGGUUACAGGCCCUUCUGCUACAGACUUCAGGACUCCUUCCCCUAAGAGCCCUUUGCCAGUGGCUGCACAUGCAGCGUGCAAGGGUGAGAAGGUGAGGACACAAGUCUGAUUAUGAAGGAACUGAGACAAAAUUAUCUUGUUUCUUUUGGUCUUUAGACCAAAACAUAACAUCCAGGAUUGCUGUAUCAGGAGACUGAGUUAAUUUUCUACGAUGCAGUGUUGAAGAGACAAUGAAUUUCUUUGGUAAUGUUAAAUUUCAUUUGCAUUUUUGCUGCCUGCUUUUUUGUUUGUUUGUUUGUUUUGGUUUUUUUCCCUCUCCUUUUUCUCCUGAUUGACUAUACAGCCAUUGUUCAGGGUACCUUGUUACUAGAUACCAUCCACGAGGAAAAUUGAUCAGACUUGGUUGUUCUUGUUCCUCCUAAAAAUCUUCCAAGGCACCAGAUCUUUAUUUAUAUGGACCUGCAGGGAUUAAGCGUUCUAGCAGUCUGCAAUACAAAUCUGAGAGGCUGCGACAAGAAUGAAUCGCAGCUGUUCAAAUUAUUGACCGCUUUGCUGACAGACUGUUUGGUUAAUACAGAGAUCCACAAUGUUCUGGAGAUACAAAUAGUCCUGUUCCUGUAGUCAUUAAAGUUACUCAAUAUUUUUAAUCAAAACCUUUUCUUACUCUUUUUGGUUCUUUCAUGAAGCAACUGGUUUCACUUAAGCUGAGCAUUAUUAAGCCUCACUUUCUUGUAAAGUACUUCAAAAUUGUUAUAUAAAUUGCCUUACACUCUUUAAUUAAAGAGAAGGAUAUGGCUGUUAUAUAAAAAUCUUAUCUCCUAUAUCCUGUCACAAGACUAAACCAGAAGCCCCUAAAAGCAUUUUGUUUGCAGUUACCAUGGUGGAUGGAGCUGAUUUUAAGGAAGAGGUGUUCUUCAAUAUUACCAGUUUGGUCAAGAGACUACUCGGGAAUCUCAGCUUACCCUCCAAGCCAAGGCUGUGAUCUGACUGUACCCCACAGAAGGCCUGCACAGCUCACAGAGGGAAGCUAAACAGCCUACUGAAGACUAGUGGUUCUCAGCCUUUAUUGAUCUACAGAUGCCUGCAUAUUUUCCCUUGGAAAUGUAAACACCUGCCUAAAAUGUAAGCCUCUGGUUUUUCAGUUACCUUACAGACCUCUUAAAUGUUGUCCACGGACCACAAGGUGAAGGUCAGUACUUGAGAGCGAUCAUUAUGCACACCCAGCAGGUAGCCUACAAUUUCAAAGUCUCUCACUUAGUUCCCUUUUUUUGCCAUAAAGGUACACAUUCAACUCUUCUUGGAGGUCCCUGCUCUGUAUUUCCUCUGCAGGAAAGACUAGUUCCCCACCCCCACCCCCCCUCUCACUCCAUUCUCACAAACAUCAGUUGAUCUGGAGCACUUUCCCCACGCGUGGUUAAUCAGCCUUGCAUAUGAAAGACGAUGCCAAAUGCCCCAAACUAUAGCUGCAUCCACAAUCCAAAAACAUAUCCUAAUUCAGCAGCAAAACUAGGCAUAGACUCUAGUUCUUUGGUGUCAUGAUUUCUUGCAGUUUUUUUUUUUUUUUUCCAUUCAUUACAUAGACACUACAUGAAAUCGAAAUGUUUGUUGGACCAAGUCACUACAUCUCUUGAGUACUUUGGUGUUCUACUAUACAGAAACAAGAAACCAUGCACACAAAUUUAAUCUGUUGUACCUGAAAUGACGAUUGGACAGGUACCUAUCAUGUACUUAGCGAAAUGUACAAAAAAAUUUCAUUCUAUGUUCAGAACUGUACUAGUAAACUUGGGCAGCUUUCGGGUACAUUACCUGCAAAAUCCUAGACAAGAUAUAUAUCCUUUUGUUGAUAUAAAGAUGAUAAAAUAAUUGAUAAAAAUAUAGAAGACAAGCAGAAUCUCCUAGUUAUAUUCUAUAUUAUGAAGAAAAUUGGAUGAUGUAGACAAAUCUAUGAAGUAAUGAAUUAUUACCUAUUGCCAAUGAUAUCUAUGAAGACGUUUAGUUCCACCCAUAAAACAUCCUAGAAUUUGCAUAGCUAUAAACUCACAAUCAAGAAUUUUGAAAGAAUCAUCUGGCAAGCAAAUGGAAACAAUGGCCUUUCCUUUCAAAACAACUUUGGAGUUUGAGUGUGUUCCAGAAAGCCAGUAAAUACUUUCAUUUUAAAAGCAUUUGAAAAAUAAGAGGGAUCAUCUAGGUAGCUUAGAAGCCAGUUGACCUAAUGCUGACUUGGCAAAAUCAAAGCGUAAUCUAUUUGGGUUACACUCAGCUAAGAAAGGAAACAUAAUAGUAUUUGAUUUAAUUGAAUGAAAAAGAUCUCAUUAAAAGAAUUACGUGUUCUUUUGUGGCAAUGUAAGUUUGGUACUUCAAGAUGGUCCAGGACUAAUAUAGCAAGACUUGCAUCUAAGUACAACACAGCCUGGUCCUUUUGUAAAGGAAAAGAAAGGCAAUAGCUAAGUGCUACAGGAGGGAGCCAAGCCUUACUGGGAGACACCUACACCAGCUCAAUUAAAUUCAGUUGUUUGGAAAGAUGAAUACAGCAGCUCGAUCACGGGCAUGUAACUCAUUAGAAAAGAUUUUUGAUAGCAGAAGACUUUAAUGUACUGAAGAAAGGCGUAAUAAGACCUUAUGAGAAGGAAAAGAAAAUAAAAAAAGAAGAGAAUGGCAGUUUCAAUGGCAGUGAAAACCAGCAAAAUAAGCGACAUGGUUGAUCAACCAUAGGGCUUUAAAUUGUGCAAGUUUAAAAUCUUUCUUGAAGAUUUAACUGAAUUAUAGACCAGCAAUGCUAUCAUUAGUCAUGGCUGAGAUUCCAUUGCCAUGUUGUGGGUGACUUUUCUAAAUGAUUUCCAGCCUACAUGAUGUUUCCUUUUAAAGCAAUGAGAAUUUGCAAAAUCCAGCUAAGAAGUGACAACCGAUUCAGGAAAGGACAAGGAGUGCUGCCACAUUCCAGCAAAGACUCAAGAUGCAAACUAACACAGAACUCCAGAAUCAAUACCAAGUCUUCUUCAGUAUACACAUAUGGGAACAAAUGGAUUGGCAUUAUGAAGAAAAUGCGGAGUUAAAGAUUUCAGGAAGCUGAAGAGGAAGGACCACAGGAUCUUAUUGGAGAAUAUCCCAUUCCUGCAUGUGGAAUUUAAAUAUUUGAACUGCUGUCAGCUUGAGAAUACAAAUCUGACAAAGUCACACUCUGAAACUUGAGGCUCCUUCUCCAUAGCAGAAAACUGUGUAUGGAUGUUAUGCUUUGCAUCCUGCAUGUAGCUACUAUACUGUUUCGGUUACCCUGAGGCACUCUGAAUGUCUUAAACAGCCUCAGAAAUUCAAAGAGAAAGACCUGAUAAAAACUCAACUAGGUGACAAUGAGAAUGAAGUAUUUUUCAUUGUUUCUACCCAGAUUUCUGUUGCUGGUGUAAACAGAAAUAAGAAAUUCAACUGAUUGGGGGGGAAAAAAAGUCCAGGAAUAAAGUGGCACUUCUGAAACUCAAUGGGAAAGCAUCGUAAUAAAAGCCAGUUUCCUCCUGUGUGAUAGUAAAAGUUACAGAAACAGCAGCAAACUGCACAAACAUAAGCAGUACCUUUGAAAUUACCAGUAACAAAAGAAUUGUACAGCCUUAAAUACACAGACAUCCCUGUGCUUGGUAAUAGAUUCCAAGAAGGAAGGAUAGAAGACAUAAGAAAACAAUGCACCAAACAAGGGAAGGUGAUCUCAAGCACCUUUAACACAAAACAAACAAAACAACAACAAACCUCACAACACUGCAAGAAAUGUUUUAACUUGCAAGACAUUCCCCAGGGUAUUCAAGCAGUCAGCCAAAUAUCCUUCCCAUUUUCAAAAUUAAUUUCCUUAAAACUAGACGCUGCACCCAAAACAAGCCUAUUUCUCAGAGUUCAACACGAUGCAUACAAGACAUGGCAAUGUGAGUGCAAACUGGCAGUUUUAUAUGUUCGUAUUGAACAUGGGCGUGUGGAGGAGAGCUACAAGCAGUAAUAAACCUAUGCAUAGUCUGUGCUUCACAAAGCAAAUUCCAAGGUGAA